rnacentral:rRNA from 1 species
GUAGGGAAUAUUGGGCAAUGGAUGCAAGUCUGACCCAGCCAUCCCGCGUGCCGGAAGAAGGCCCUCAGGGUUAUAAACGGCUUUUGACGGUGAAGAAUCGACAGGAUGCGUCCUGUUUUGACGGUAGCCGUUGAAUAAGCACCGGCUAACUCCGUGCCAGCAGCCGCGGUAAUACGGAGGGUGCGAGCGUUGUCCGGAUUUAUUGGGUUUAAAGGGUGCGUAGGCUGGAAGGUCAGUCAGCGGUGAAAAGCUGUCGCUUAACGAUAGUCUUGCCGCAGAUACUUCCUUUCUUGGAUGAGGAGGAGGCCACUGGAACGGAUGGUGUAGCGGUGAAAUGCAUAGAUAUCAUCCAGAACACCGAUUGCGAAGGCAGGUGGCUGUACCUUAAUCGACGCUGAUGCACGAAAGCAUGGGGAGCAAACAGGAUUAGAAACCCCGGUAGUCC